AACGGCCAUACCAUGCUGAAUAUACCGGUUCUCGUUAGAUCACCGAAGUCAAGAAUCAUUGGGCGCGGUCAGUACUUGGGUGGGUGGG